ensembl:lncRNA
AGUAACUGCUCCGUGGAGGUCACGUUCUUCCCCUAGAACAGGAAGGAGGAGCUCACCUCCGCCCCACGAGCUUGGCAGGCUCAGGGCAGACAAAUCCCAGGGUGGGGACAACUUGCAUCCCAGCCUGGGUCCAGCUGUCCGGCGACCCUGAUGGAGGGCACGUGGGAAGCGUGUGGCUUGGCCUAGAUGCUGUUCUGUGGACUUGGACACAUCGGUGCUGGAUGAGUGGGCAGUCAGCCUGGAGGACAGGACCUAGGGGUGCCACAGGGGUCUCUAUUAGGCCCCACCUAUUUCUCUGUGUGGGGUGUGGCACAGAGUUGAGAAGGAUGAGGGACACCUUGAGUGACAGUCAGGACCCAGGUGGCCUUUUUGCCCCUGUAAAGCCUUGGCUUUCCUCCUCCAUCCCCUUCCCCGACCCCCUCCAUCCUCAGCCCUCUCCCCAUCCUCAGACUCUGCAGAGAGCUCCUCCUCCAGCGCGGCUGCCCGCCCUGGGGCUCCGGCUCUGACUCCAGGUCUCCAUCCUGUUGCAGCAAGCUCCCAAAGGGUCUUCAAAUCCGCGUGCCCAGUCACAGACUGACCCUCCCCCAGCAUCCCGCCCUCCUGUGAUGCCAUCUCCACAGUGUCAUCCUUACCCGUCAGUCGCCCACACUGGACACCCAGGCGUCGCCCUGGACUCCACCCUCCCCCUUCCGAAUCUGCUUAGUCACCCAGUCUCCCGGAUGGAGCCCACCUCUGGGUAUCUCUGCAAUCAGGCUCUGCCCACCACCCUCCCUGCUGUGGCCUGAGCUCAGCCACCAACACUGCCCUGUGCAUCAUCACACCUCCUAACUCAUUGCAGCCCCAGAGGGUGGCCCCUGAGCCAGAUCGGGGCCUGAGACUUGCUUUGCCUCCAAGAGUGUCUUGUUUUGCUUUUGUUUUUAAAUGGGUCAACACACUAGACAAGAAGAUUUCACAUACAAAGAAGGAAUUCUGCCUGCUCUUGGGAAUUUGCUGGACUCACACGCAUUUCGCCCCCUUGGCGGGAAUACUGGCUGCCCCCGGUGGCAGCUGUUCCCUUCAGAGGGAACUCAUAUCUCCCUGAUGAUCACAGACCCCAACCAGGCUGUCUUGCCCCUCCAGGCACUUGAGAUUAAGACUCCUGUUUCCAGUCCCUCAUCAUCCUCGUUGCUCCCGACUCAAAUGCCAAAGUUGGCCCUGCCGCUCAGCAGCUUGCCCGAGGCCCUGCAGAGAUCAGCCUUCCUACCGUGGCAUUCAAGGUCCUUCCCUGUUCCACCCAGGCCACCUCUCCAGCCUCACCCCAGUCCUGCAACCCUGGAGCUCCUAGCUGACUGCCUCACAGGUCUCACAAUUCCCAAACACAUCCGCUUCCCAGGCCUUUCUGCAUGUAGAUUGGGGGUUUGGUCCUCCUUCGUUUACAAAUAAUUGUACAGGGCUGUAUACACAAAAGUGAGGACAACUAGAAUAAAACUCUGUCUUUGAGGAGAGACUUUGCCCAAACUUAUGAUGUCACAAACAUUAAGAAAAGUUGAAUAACAGGUUAACGAGUUCCUCAUGCCCACCACUUACAAAAUUGUUAACAUUUGCCCAUGUAUAUAUAGGGUUUGUUUGCUGGUUUGGCUGAACCAUUUGAAAUUAAUUCACAAACGUCACAAAUGUCGUUGAUACACAGUGGAUGCUGAUGGCUCUGCAACAUGUGGGAUGGUUACAUGAAAAGAACUGGCUCGCCCAGGACGCUACUGAGAACUUCUGGUACACCUCUGUUGGAAUACGGCCAGGGACGGGGAUCUCUCUCCCUCACAAGUCAGUGCCUCCAUUCCGGACAGCUUGCAUCACUGUCCAGUGCUUCCUCAACAAGUGGGUGGUAAGUCUGACCACACUUCAGCCUCAGGAGUUUUGCUUCUCCUGGCUAAAAAUCCCCAGUUCUUCCUGAUUUUACAUAUAGGAAAAUGUCUGUCUCCAGACCUUUCCACGUACCGGAAAUGAACAUCACUUUCUUUGUCUAACUCUAAAACUGCACUGCUCAGAGCUGCUACGCUUCCCUGACGGGGGGGCGGGGGGCACUCGCUCUACUCGAUUUAGCCUUUGCUAGUCGAACUCUGAUGCUCACUGGUGAUGGAAACGGACUCAAACUGGCUCGAGAAAAACGAGGUAAAACAAACAUCAAAUCCAGUGGCUCACACAGCAGGCCCAGCCUGGCAGCCCAGCAAGGGAGGGUUUGCCUGCCUACAGAUGUGUGUCAAGCCCAGAGAAGGCUCCCGACCGACCUGCUGGGUCACCUGCACACCGCCUGGACCGACCCCUGUCCCCAGGAAGAUGAGAACUACGAUUGCGCAAGCCUGGAUUCUAUGUCCUCGCCUCCAUUCCUCCCGAAUGCAGGAGGAACAGCGACCCUGGCCACCGAAACCAGUGGAUAUCUGUUAUGUUACCUUCAAGAUUGAUGGCAUUUGCUUUUCGAACCGGAGCUCACCGCUCUCAGAAUGACUUGGGGAUGGCUACAGAUUCCACAUCAGCACAGCUUAAAGCCAGGUCUCACGUGUGAUAGCAAUGCUCCUAGCUUUUUAAAAACUUCGUUUCUUCGGCAAACACAGCUCCAUGCCCAUUUGCCGGCACUUCCGUAGGUGGAUGGGGUAGAAAUGAACCCCGCAUGGCUCUUGCGCUGGAGGACCCACAGCAUGGUGGGGGAGGCAGACGUGCCACCAGACAGUGGUGUGGAAUCAAUGCUGAGAGGCUCCCUGGAGGAGGCAGCAUUUGCAAUUAGCAUGGAAAAGGAGUAGGCCUUUGUCUGGUGGACACAUGGGAGCAGUGAGGAUGGAGAGGGAGUGGGGCAUUCUGGGAAGUGGGAGCAGCAUGCGCAAAGGCGCAGAGGUGAGCCAGGACUUGGAGGGUUUGGGAACCACCAGGAGUCCAGCCCCAUAGGAAGACACAGUGUGGGGGAGGGACUGGGGCUGUUUGGGUAGGCAGGACCAGAUGGUGACUUCCGGACAAGUGUGGUGAUUCCUGCAGCCCCAGAGUCACCAACUUCCCUGGCUUUUACAGCACAAACAGCCAUCAUUCCAGCACCUGUUCCAUGUGGUCUCAAGAAGCUCAGUGUCUCCGCCACCAAAUGCCCCUGAGGUUCUCCAGGGAGGGUUCCAUCUCAACGUUGUCCUUUGUCACCGAUGCCCGACUUGCUGCUUCAGAUACUCUCCCUGCUCUCUCCAUUUUGUUCGAGCUCUCCGGUCCUCUUCACUCCCAAAAUGUGGGCCUUCCCUUUCUACCCAAGGCUUGAGCUAGCAGAGCAGGAACCGGUGCAGAAAAGAAAAGCUUAGAGUGGGUAUCGUGCAUCAGGCUUCUCCAGGCCAGCAGCUGUGCCUCAGAGGGUCUCCUCCUGGCAUGGACCCUCAGCCCUCAUCCCCUAUCCUUGCAGGACCCUAUCCCUCAAUGCCCUUUAACCUCUCCCUUCCCUUUGGUCCCAGCUCUUUGCUAGAAAAAAAAUUUUUAGAAAAAGAAAAGAGGUUUAGCGAUGGUCCCAAUGGGGCAGCUCUUGCACAAGUUUGUCCGACUUUGCGUGUACGACCUUGGGCAGUUGCCCUUCUGCACGGCCCGUUUCAGAAACCUCCGAGCCCGUCCAAAGAGGAGCAGCAGCAAAAUUCAUCUGCAAAUGCCUGGAUCCAUGAAGCAUCCCGGCUUUAAUUAUGACGUCCCUAUUCAAGAGGACUGGAGGGUGUUGCGUGCAGGGCCCCCGUUCCAUUCUCUGUCAGGCCUCCGUCAUUGCACGUGCUGUUGUAAGCACUAAAGGAGAGCAUAAUGAGUGUAGCUCCCCUGCCUGGGGCCUGGCCCGCAGCAGGUGCUCCUAAGUUUGCUGGACUUGAACCUAAAUCUUGCUUGAUUGGAUAGUCACAAUAUUCUUUGUAAGGAGAAGUCAGCACUUGAUUUCAAAGCUGGCAUUUCCUGCUCCUAUAGAGCUGCCUCCCCUCGGCCUCUCCCAGCCGCCUCCCCACGUCUGCCUUCCCGGGGGAUGGAGGUCUCCAUGACACCUUUUCAAGGGAGUUGUGUUUCCACUGGUAUUCCAGAGGAGGUGGGAAUACCCCAGGCUGAAACAUU